UACGAAGGGGGCUAGCGUUGUUCGGUAUCACUGGGCUUAAAGAGUUCGUAGACGGCUCAGCAAGUCAGGUGUGAAAUCCCACAGCUCAACUGUGGAACUGCGCUUGAAACCGCUGGGCUUGAGGGAGAUAGAGGUAAGCGGAACAGAUGGUGGAGCGGUGAAAUGCGUUGAUAUCAUCUGGAACACCGGUGGCGAAAGCGGCUUACUGGGUCUUUUCUGACGCUGAGGAACGAAAGCUAGGGUAGCAAACGGG
rnacentral:rRNA from 1 species